rnacentral:rRNA from 2 species
UGGGGAAUCUUAGACAAUGGGCGCAAGCCUGAUCUAGCCAUGCCGCGUGAGUGAAGAAGGCCUUAGGGUCGUAAAGCUCUUUCGCCAGGGAUGAUAAUGACAGUACCUGGUAAAGAAACCCCGGCUAACUCCGUGCCAGCAGCCGCGGUAAUACGGAGGGGGUUAGCGUUGUUCGGAAUUACUGGGCGUAAAGCGCACGUAGGCGGAUUAGAAAGUUAGAGGUGAAAUCCCAGGGCUCAACCCUGGAACUGCCUUUAAAACUCCUAGUCUUGAGUUCGAGAGAGGUGAGUGGAAUUCCAAGUGUAGAGGUGAAAUUCGUAGAUAUUUGGAGGAACACCAGUGGCGAAGGCGGCUCACUGGCUCGAUACUGACGCUGAGGUGCGAAAGUGUGGGGAGCAAACAGGAUUAGAUACCCUGGUAGUCCACACCGUAAACGAUGAAUGCCAGUCGUCGGGUAGUAUACUAUUCGGUGACACACCUAACGGAUUAAGCAUUCCGCCUGGGGAGUACGGUCGCAAGAUUA